rnacentral:rRNA from 1 species
GGGCUACCCAAAGUGCUCCAUAUAGGAGCUGUGGUAGGUGCGUAAUGUCCCUACUAGAAAGGAGAGGGCAAGGCUGGUGCCAGCCGCCGCGGUAAAACCAGCUCUUCAAGUGGUCGGGAUAAUUAUUGGGCUUAAAGUGUCCGUAGCUGGUAAGGUAAGUUCCUGGUAAAAUUGGGCAGCUUAACUGUCCUUACGCUAGGAAUACUGCUUUACUAGAGGGCGGGAGAGGUCUGAGGUACUACAGGGGUAGGAGUGAAAUCUUAUAAUCCUUGUAGGACCACCAGUGGCGAAGGCGUCAGACUGGAACGCGCCUGACGGUGAGGGACGAAAGCCAGGGGAGCGAACCGGAUUAGAUACCCGGGUAGUCCUGGCCGUAAACGAUGCACACUAGAUGAUGGUGCGGCCAUGAGCCGUAUCAGUGUCGUAGGGAAACCGUUAAGUGUGCCGCCUGGGAAGUACGGUCGCAAGGCUUAAACUUAAAGGAAUUGGCGGGGGAGCACCACAAGGGGUGAAGCCUGCGGUUCAAUUGGACUCAACGCCGGGCAACUUACCAGGGGAGACAGCAGAAUGAAGGUCAGGUUGACGACCUUACCUAACAAGCUGAGAGGAGGUGCAUGGCCGUCGCCAGUUCGUGCUGUGAGGUAUCCUGUUAAGUCAGGCAACGAACGAGACCCGUGCCUUUAUUUGCCAUCAAGAAGUCACGACUUCGUUGGGAACGAUAAAGGGACUGCCGUCGAUAAGACGGAGGAAGGAGCGGGCAAAGGCAGGUCAGUAUGCCCCGAAACCCCUGGGCUACACGCGGGCUGCAAUGGUGCGAACAAUGGGCUGUGACUCCGACAGGAGAAACCAAUCCCGAAAUCGCAUCUCAGUUGGGAUUGUCUACUGUAACCCGUUGACAUGAACGUGGAAUCCCUAGUAAU